GUCUGAACAGUGAUGGCGCUUGUUUCAGUUAUGAGUCGCUCAGUGGACUGUGGAUUGACUGAACUGUACCCAUUCCCAUCAUGAUGUACACCACCAAGGCUCCUCACUACACCUGUUUUCUGAUUAGAGACGAAAUACAUGACAUUCAGAACUUCCACUAAGGUACUGUAAGCUUUUGUGGUGACAUGGCAUCUGGUUUUUUCCUACAAGGAGAGUUCAGCACACAGCACAGUCCUUGAUACAUUGGAUUGGUUUGAUGAUCCUACCUGGAACAGGAUAGAAAACUAACACAAGGCUAACUAAGAGGAGUACCGGGAACUGCAGGAGAAAAGCUUUUGGCUACUUUCCAGGCACUGUGCAUUUGUUUAACCAGAAU